AAGCCUAUUCCAGAGUUUAACUACACCUAUAGUUAGAAAGAUUUUCCUAAUACCUAACCUAAAUCUCACUUACUGCAGAUUAAACCCAUUACUUCUGGUGGACAUGGAGAACAAUUGAGCACAAUCCUCUAUAACAGCUCUUACCAUAUUUGAAGAUUAAUCAGGUCCCCCUUCUUGUCAAGACUAAAUCUGCCCAGUUUUUUUAGUCUUCUCUCAUAGGUCUGAUUUUCUAAACCUUUUUAUCACUCUCCUCUUGGUUCUUUUCAAUUUGUUCACAUCUUUCUUAAAGAUGUACAGUCAUGAAUGUUAUAAGAUCAAUAAGACAUUUGUUCCUAUGAAAUUCAAUUAAAUAUGAACAAAUUUGAAAAAAAUGAAAUGCUUUUUUAUUUUUAAACAAAAACAAAACAUACCCCCUGUAGAACUCAUUGCUACCAGAUAUUACUGAAACAAAAGUCUCAGUAAAGGAUUAAGCAUUUUAUAUGGAUAAUGGGUACAUAGUUGGUGCUUAGUUUGUAAUGAAAGAUCUGCCAGGGCUCAAACACUUUUUUUGCAUUCACAACUGAUGCAGCAAGCCCAGAGGUGCCAGGGCUAUGAAGUGCCAAGGCUCAGCACUGACAAAUUAAGCUCUGUAUAUAAUCACAUUUUACACUAGCUAAAAUAAACAUUUACAAGGGAUAUACAUCCUGAUGUAAGAGAUAAGACAAGCACUGUGGCUAAGAAGAAAUUCCCAUCGUAAGAUUAUUAUUCCAUAAUUGUCCAUUAUGGAAGUUUUAACUCUUGUUCUGAAGCAGAGCUGGUUGGGAAUUUCCAUGAGAGUGAUUUUCCAGUUGAGAAUGCAGUUACUGUAAAAUCAAAACAGAUUUUCCAAACAUAAAAAUAAAAAAUAUAUUUUCUAGUGGAUAAAUUGAAAUGAAACACAGUAAAACCUGCCUUAGAGACUACCUCCACAUUUCAAAAUCAAAAGUGUUCAGAAUUUGUGUUGCAGAAAAAUGUCAAAAUCUCAACAUUUCGUCCUGAUUUGGAAUGAAAACAAAUGUUGAAGUGUCAGAAUUUCCCAUGGGAUGGAAGUUCUGAAUUUCACUCAUUUUUACUCUGAAGCAUCUGGUAUUGUGUACUGUUGGAGACAGGCCACUGGACUAGAUGGACCACUGUUCUGAGCUAGUGUGGUAAUUCCUAUGUAAUUAAUAUGAAAAAUGUGAGUACAUAGUGAACUUGAAUUGAGAUUGUCCAAAUUUCUUAGAAUUUAGAUUUCUUACAGUUACUGACAGUACUGAGAGGUAGGAAGUUGCCCUAAAUUAUAUUUUGGACAAUAAAUACUUUCAAAGUUAAUUUUUUUCAUAAUGACUAACAUUUUCCAACAUAAAUAUUGAAGUAUCCUGCAUUCCUUACUUUGGUCUUCACUAGGGUGUCUGUUUAUGUUUGGUUUUGAGAAUGAUAUAACGAUGUAGAGGUAACAUGAAACAGGUUUGAUGUGACAUUUUAUAAACAAACUGGGCACAAGAGAGAAAUGUGAAAGCUGAGAUGUGGUUGUUAUGACAACCAAAUUAGAAGCAGUUCUUGCUGGACAUAAGUGAAGCGGUAACAUGAAAGUUAUUUUCAUUCUUUAAAGACAAAGGUCAUAGUUGUAGCAUUUUACUCUGGCUGCUUUUUCAAAAUCCCACUAGUAAUAAGAGUAAUGCCAUUGAAUAUCCUAAAUACUUUCAGCUAGAAUUGUUAAGAAAAGACUGAAAGAACACAAAUACCAAGACAGUGUUUUCUGUAUAUAAGGAAGGCAAAUCUUAUUCUUAUUUUAAGGAUAAAGAAAUGAAGGUUCAGACAGGCCAAAUGAUUCAACCAAUUUCAUUCAGGACAUCUGUAAAAGAGCUAAGAAGAACUCAGAAGCCCUGUGUUUUAGUCAUAAGACUGUCCAUCCUCCCUUGGCUGGAGUAUUCUUAAAUAAUGCCCAGGAGAUGGACAUUAGCAGCUGUCUGGAACAAUACAGCAUUGCAUUUAAAUACAUUUAAAAUAAUAGUAUUUGAUGGAAUUAAUGAGAAUUGCUGUUCCAUUUUUUGUUUAAACAUUCCAUGAAUAGUUAAGUACUUUUCUUACUUACUUACCUUUUUCAUUAGUUAUGUAGAGAGCAUGGAAAAACAAGCAGCACUUUGAAAAAUGUCACAGUAUAUAAAUAGCACUUCUGAGAACAUUACUAAAGUUCUACUGAACUGCAAAACCAACAAGUUAGUGGUGAAGAUAAUGAAGAUGCAGGCAAGAGAAGAAGAUGUAAAAAUCAAGGCAAAAGGCCAAUCAAAUUACUUCUGUAAAGAACUGCAAUGUUGCAGUUCAUGAAAUUUUACCAUGAUUUUAUUGGGAGUCUCACAAUAUUUUUCGUAGAACCCCAGCUCCUGUUGUUAAAUAAUUUUGUGAGAAUCUCAGUUUUCUCUUUUUCAUUUUAGCCCUCUUGGUUGUGAAGAAAAGCUUGAAAGUGUGACCUGAGUGCACCUUGAAAGUGUGACCUGAGUGAGGCUCAGAAACCAGAAGAAAAUUAAAAAGAACUCCAAAUUUAUUAUUUUUUUAAAAGUAUGAUUUUUCAAGCCCAUAAUCUCAUGAUUUUUUUGAGGCUUGAUUAAUGAUUUCUGAAUGCUUGAGGUUGGCAUAUUGGAAUUGUAGACCUCACUAGAAAUAGCACUAGUCCAGUGUUUCUCAAACUGGGGCGGCCAGUGGGAGCCGCGAUUGGCCGGACCUGCGGACGGGGCAGGUAAACAAACUGGCCCGGCCUACCAGGGGCUUUCCCUACACAAGCGGCAGCCCCAGUUUGAGAAACACUGCACUAGUCUCACUUCAUCUCUCUGGACCCAAUGAAUUUCUUUGAUGACAAAAGGAAGGGUCUCAUCAGAAGUGAAGGAAAAACAUGGCAGCUAUGGACCAGCUGUAUUAUUAACCAUUGAUAUUUGAUAAAUUGGGGAUUAUGUUUAACUAAAACCUCCAGACUUUGCAUGUAAAUAGUCCUCAUUGAGGAGUAGGCUCUACAUUUGUGAGGAAAGUAAAUAUAAAAAAGUUAUUGAAAUGAAUGAGAAAUCACUGCUGAGCAGGGCAUCUGCUGAGGUUUACAGCAGAACCUAAAGAAGAUCUGCCCCCUAUAAGAUCUCUCAAUGCAAAACUUUCCUGAUAGGCCCAAGAGCUGCCACUAGAACAACUUACUGGAAGAGAAUUUGAAGUGUCUCAGGAAGUACACCACCACAGUGCUCCAAAAUCACGUAGAUUAUGUAUUUUUCUUUCCUGCUGUUGAAAAUGCACCUUCUAAUCAUCAGACCCCUUUAAAGUGUUUCAUGUUGAACAUCCAAAAACUGAGGUAUACAAAGCUACUAACCACUUUUGAAAAUCUUGGCCUGUAUAUUUAAAAACAUAUAUUGAGCCCUGUCUCUUAGCCCUGAACACUUUAUAGAAAUGGCAAUAUAUUGCCUGAAAUCCAAAGCUCCUUCCCUUCCAGCAAGAAUUAUCCUGUGAAUCUUCAGCACUCCACUUGUAUUGUGAGGGCUGAUAGUCCCCAGCACUCUACAUGACAGUCCCAUUUAACUCCUGGUACUUUACAACCUUCUGUUCUUGCAGAAUUCAGAACAGUAAGGCACACUUUACACCUGAGAUACAGUAAAACAUCUGGUUUCAUAGUGUUUCUGUUAUUCUCCUAGAGCAGCACAAAUUCCCUGUCCUUUUUUCACCAGUUUGCUUCACUAUCUUUCUAUUACACUGUGUUCCUUCUCUGUGGAAACAACAGACAGUGUAAAACAGUCUAGAAGACUUUUAGGACAAAGUUACAUCAUGUUCUUACACUGUAAAGCAAGUAUAGCUUUAAAGUACAGUGGCAGUGAUGUUAUCAGUAAGGUCACAACAGUUUCCAUCCUAAGCCUCUGUUUUAAGCCAUUCAUAACUGUGAAAUUUACUUUUCAUGCUAAAAAAUUUCAAGCUUGGACUUUGCCUUAAAAUGAAUUAUUGAGAACAAUUUGAACAAAAAACAACAUUUGCAUAUGAGCAUAAUUUAAAUAUAUAUAUACCAUAAAAAGUAUUUACAGUAAUUUUUGGACAGAUUUACUGUCAAAACAACUAGGGACAGAAAGUAAAAAUUGAAGAUUAAAAUAUAUCCAACUGAUAAGUACCUUUGGAUGUAGAGCGGUUAGAAAAAAAAAAUUGACACAAUGUUUUUUGUUGAAAAAUGGAGUCCCAUCAAAAUUGAAACACUUCACAAAAUUGUGGUGCUCAUACCAAAGUUUUAUUGGAGAAAAAGGGUGCUAACAAUGCAAAAACAUCCCGUGUUGACAUUUUCAGUACAAAACAUUUCAGUGUAUCUUUUUGAAAUGACUUUGAUUUAAUUUUUAAAAUUUUGAAUAUACAUUUAUAUAAAAUUUGAAAUUGAAACAAUUAUUUUGAUUUUAUCAAAGCAAAAUAUUUCAAUAGAGAAGGAUAUCUUUAUUUUAUUUUAUUUUAUUUUAUUUCGGAAAAUUUCAGGAUUUUCAGGUUUUGUUCCAAACUAGAGUGAAAACAAGUCUCUCAAAAUCUGCUGUGAAAUGGAAUAUUUGUUCUCCACUCAGCUCUAUUUGGAUAUAUCAUUUCCUGUGUAUUUUUCUGUACUCUGUAUUCUGGCAUACCCAGAGUAGUAACAAGAAGUUAUAUUUGUAUCUAAGUUUGUAGAAUUGUAUUAUAUUUUAUUGAGGAAAUAGUAUGUGUUCAUUUAAUUUAGACAACAUAAUGAAUAUGCACAACGUGACAGACCUAAAAAUUGCAUGAAAAACCUCAAUGAUGGCAUGUCCAUGCAUGCUUCACUUUGAAAUUUAACAUUCUUCUAACUUAGUUCUUUGUAUGGAAUAAAUGAUGGUUUACAUAGCAUCACUGUGGUAAAUGUACAUCUGAAUAGAGAUACUGUGUAGUUCUUAUUUCACUUUUUUGCUAAGGUCUUAUAUAGGUCUAAAUAACUGCAAUCAUUCUUACAUCCCGAAUGCUCAACAUUCAAUACUCUUGCAUUGGCCUUGCUGCUAUAACAAGGCAUGUGAGUAGAGGAAGAUGGGAAAUAUGUGCUUAGAAAGUAGCAAGAGAAAGCAAAGGAGGUUUGCUGCCAGCAACCAAAGAGAUGAGGAAGGAGUUCACACUUGAACCCUCCCACGUGGUACCACUUAUUGAUUCAUAUCUAACCUACAUGUAAGACCCAAACACUCCUUCAUUUGGUGAGACUUAAAGGGUGCAUCUACACUUCAAAAAAACCACCCUGUGGCAGCAAGUCUCAGAUACUGGAUCAACUGAUUCAGGCUCACUCUUUGGGACUAAAAAUAGAAGUGUAGACAUUCCUGCUUGGGCUAGAGCCCGGGCUCUGAAACCCAGCAGUGGGGAGGGGGAAGGUCAGAUAACAGGAACCAGUUUGGAUUCUCUUUAGUGCACAGCUAGUCAUUUAGUUGCUUUCUUUGUAAUGUGUAGUAAAAAUUUAUUAUGGUCUGGGACUUCUGUUAAGUCAUCUUUAUGGCACUAGAACAUCAUCUGUCAAAAAGAAAUGACCUUUUCUAAGAACAAAAUUUCCCUGCUUAUAUCUUUCCAAAUGUUGAUUAAGUUAUGUGAGAACAACAAGGAAAACAAGAUUUGUCAUACUGAAAAGCUGAUGAAUAUGUACUGUAAGGCAACGUCACAUUCUCUAAUUAAUAAACAAUUACAGCUGUAAUUGUUUGUACAUUCCUGCAAAUGCCAACAAAAUCAAACAUCUGUCAUGCCAGAUGACGAAGCACAACUCAUUUAAUGUACUUAGCACUCCACUCAUCUUGAAAAGGUCACUCGGGCUUUAACAAGCUAUACAUGGUUAGCCAGCUUUUAGGAAAUGAGCGUGUACCUUCCAAAGCAUGCAGUUUGUAUCAGCAAUAAAGGUGCUAUCAUAUUUGGCUCACCUUCAAGUGACAUAUUUGGCUUAAAUAACAAAUUAUAACUGGUGCAAUCUGCCUAAUGUUUCUGCUGCAUGCUUGGAUACAUUCAAACCUGUUCUAUUAUUUUUUAUAAUUUCUGUAGAAGACACGCCCAGAGUCCGCAGUUAGAAUCAGGCCCCAGCGUGCAUGGCUUCAUACAAGCACACAGGAAGGCAGGGUCCCAAUGAACUAACAGACUAAGAGAACACACAUACAAUUCUAUUCUAUAUUCAAUAUCAGUAAACACAAUCUAUUCUUUUACGGCUCAGUUGUGACUUUUAGCCACGGGCCACUAAGGCUGAUCUGUAAGGGGUGUACCAUACCAUGCCAUAGAUUAAUAUAUCAGACUCCCCAGGCCUGCACUGGAACUUAGUGGGACUCGGAAAUGGUAGAGUCUUGCCUCCUCCCUAUCCCCUUUGGCGUGACUUACUCCCACAGAAGUCCUAGGAAGGCACAGCCAACAUGUAGUUGUGUGCAGUUGUCUCCCUUCUGCCCUUGUGCAGCUAUAAUGGGAAACAGAUUUUUUUGUAAAAAACAUUGUUGAUAGAACACAGGGGAGUGACAUGGGCCAUCAGUGAUGUCAAUAAGAGAGCUGUUAAUGCUACACUAGUGCAAAAGCAGGGUGUGGGUGGUGGUACAA